CCUGGUGGCUCAGUGGGUAAAGCAUCUGCCUGCAAUGCGGGAGACCCGGGUUCGAUCCCUGGGUCAGGA
rnacentral:tRNA from 1 species